GCCAGCCAGAGACCAUGGUUCCCUUCGGGAAAACUGUCCACUCUGGAAGGGACAAUGAAAAUCCCUCCUGGCUGGCUCUCCGGAGCCUCAGGGACUGGUGUCUCCCCGCUCCGCCCUCCACCCCCCGAAAUGUUUCUGUUUCUAAUCCUAGCCUGGGCAGGAAUGUGGCUGUGCGGCCAGAGUCCAAGGAGCUAUUUUGGGGGCUCCUUUGCCUCCCCCAGGCUUUGUCCAGUUGAUCACCCCUGGUCCUGGCUCCUGAGGGCCUCCCUUCCCGAUUCUCUCACCACCCCUUCCCCACCUCCUGCCAAAAAAAAGUCAGCGUAAAGCAGAGGGCCUGAGGGCUAAAUUUAAACCGUCCCAAAGUCUGAAUCCCUGGCUGAGUCACCCGCAAAGCUGCCCUGGCCUCCUGCCUCCCUUCCCCAGGCCUCAACCCUUUUUCUUCCCUCCCAACUCCAGAGCUUGGGAGGGGUGUCACCAGAUCACUCUGAGCCUCAAUUGGUCCCCUCUGGGAAAUGGGAGGGCUCAUCCUUGGCAUCUGUAUGGUAUUCCACUGGGCUCCGCCUUUUCUGGCGGAGGGGAGUUUGAGGGUUGAGAUUCUCUAACCCCCCCCCCCAUCUGACACUGAAGCAUUCCGAGGGGCCUGGAAGGAGGGAGUUGGGGGGGCCUGGCUUGUGAGGGGUUAAGGCUGGGAGGCUAGAGGGGGCUGGACCAAGGGGUGGGGAGAAGGGGAGGAGGCCUUAGCAGCCAGCAGAGAGAAGUGGCCAGAGAGGCCCAGGGGACAGCCAGGGACAGGCAGACAUGCGGCCAGGGCCCCAGGGUCUGGACGGGGCCUUCCAGGCCCCAUGACAGGAGGACCUUGAGCCCCCCGCCCGGGGAGGGGGCCAUGGUGCUGCCUGCCCGUCAUGUCAGCCGAGGUGCGGCUGAGGCGGCUUCAGCAGCUGGUGCUGGACCCCGGCUUCCUGGGGCUGGAGCCCCUGCUUGACCUUCUCCUGGGUGUCCACCAGGAGUUGGGCGCCUCCGACCUGGCCCAGGAGAAGUAUGUGGCCGACUUCUUGCAGUGGGUGGAUCCCAUUGCGGCGAGGCUUAAGGAAGCCCGACUGCAGAGGGAUGACUUCGAGAUUCUGAAGGUGAUCGGACGCGGGGCGUUCAGCGAGGUAGCGGUGGUGAAGAUGAAGCAGACGGGCCAGGUGUACGCCAUGAAGAUCAUGAAUAAGUGGGACAUGCUGAAGAGAGGCGAGGUGUCGUGCUUCCGCGAAGAGAGGGAUGUGUUGGUGAACGGGGACCAGCGCUGGAUCACGCAGCUGCAUUUCGCCUUCCAGGACGAGAACUACCUGUACCUGGUCAUGGAGUACUACGUGGGCGGGGACCUGCUAACGCUGCUGAGCAAGUUUGGGGAGCGGAUCCCAGCCGAGAUGGCACGCUUCUACCUGGCCGAGAUUGUCAUGGCCAUAGACUCGGUACACCGGCUGGGCUACGUGCACAGGGACAUCAAACCAGACAACAUACUGCUGGACCGCUGCGGCCACAUCCGCUUGGCGGACUUCGGCUCCUGCCUCAAGUUGCGGGCAGAUGGAACGGUGCGGUCCCUGGUGGCGGUGGGCACCCCGGACUACUUGUCUCCCGAGAUCCUGCAGGCCGUGGGCGGCGCGCCGGGGACUGGCAGCUACGGGCCCGAGUGUGACUGGUGGGCGCUGGGCGUGUUCGCCUAUGAAAUGUUCUAUGGGCAGACGCCCUUCUACGCUGACUCCACGGCUGAGACCUACGGCAAGAUCGUGCACUACAAGGAGCACCUGUCUCUACCGCUGGCAGAUGCAGGGGUCCCUGAGGAGGCUCGCGACCUCAUCCAGCAGCUGCUGUGUCCGCGGGAGAUGCGCCUGGGCCGGAAUGGAGCAGGCGAUUUCCAGAAGCAUCCUUUCUUUUUUGGCCUUGACUGGGACAGCCUCCGAGACAGCGUGCCUCCCUUUACACCAGAUUUUGACAGUGCCACGGACACGUGCAACUUCGAUGUGGUGGAAGAUGGGCUCACUGCCAUGGUGAGCGGGGGCGGGGAGACGCUGUCAGAUAUUGGGGAAGGCAUGCCCCUGGGGGUCCACCUGCCUUUCGUGGGCUACUCCUACUCCUGCAUGGCCCUCAGGGACGAGGAGAUCCUGGGCUCCACGCCCAUGGAACUGGAGGCCGAGCCGUUGCCUGAGCCAUUGCAAGAGCCCAGCCUGGAACCCACAGUGCCCGGAUCAGAGGAAACAGCUGAAGUGGCAGUUCCAGAGGCCAUUCUGGAGCCGGUGGCAGAAGCCGAGGUGACGCUGCGGGAGCUCCAAGAGGCCUUGGAGGAGGAGGUGCUUAGCCGGCAGAGCUUGAGCCAGGAGCUAGAGGCCAUCCGUUUGGCCAACCAGAACUUCGCCAGUCAACUCCAGGAGGCCCAGGCCCGGAACCGAGACCUGGAGGCGCACGUUCGGCAGCUGCAGGAGCGGAUGGAGUUGCUUCAGGCCGAGGGAGCCGCAGCUGUCACGGGGGUCCCCAGUCCCCGGGCCAUGGAUCCACCUUCCCAUGUAAGACCCCUCUUUUUCCCCUGCGUCAAGCCUGCUGUCCCCUGUGCAGACCCUGUCCCCAUCUCCCUGUACCCCCGCCUGGAUUUAGGGCUCACUCCUUCCUUUUUGAGGUUCCAGUCGGCAGACACCCUCCUUUCAGCCCCACAUCUACCAGAUAUCCCUGGUUCAGGCCUCUCUCCAAAUCCCAGCCGGGAUCUCCCGAGAAGCCCUCCCCGACCUCCACUCCCCUCGCUGUCUCUCGACCCCCGCUGAGGGCGGCCGAGCCGAGCUGAGCUCGGAUCGGGUCACCUGUCCCUUCUCUCUCCAGCUAGAUGGCCCCCCGGCCGUGGCUCUGGGCCAGUGCCCGCUGGUGGGGCCAGGCCCCAUGCACCGCCGCCACCUGCUGCUCCCUGCCAGGGUCCCUAGGCCUGGCCUACGGGAGGCGCGUUCCUUGCUCCUGUUCGCCGCUGCUCUGGCUGGUGCCGCCGCCCUGGGCUGCACUGGGUUGGUGGCCUGCGCCGGCCAUCUCGCCGCAGUCUGACCCCGCCCGGGAGCCACCUUCGCCGCCUGAACCGUAGAACCCGAGCCCGUCCUCCGCUCGGGCUCUGCUGGAGAGUUGGGUGACCCGGGUACCGCCCAGAAGCCACUCCCACCGCCUCCGGUUCACAGCACUCCGAGCGUGGGUCUCCGCCCCAGCUCUAGCCCUGUGAUCCGGGCCCGCCCCCUGGCGGCCGGGGAGGGAGGAGUGGGGGCCGCGGCUCAAGCGAGACUUGUAGCCUGGAAAGCUGCUGCUGCUGAGGGGAUCGCGGACCUCUCUCUUCCUCCGGCCUGGCUGAGGCCCCCCGACGGGGGUGGGCAAACUGCGACCUAGAGAAGGCAGCAGGGCCAGGGUUCAAGCAACUAUUUUUCACCUUCCAGGCACCCCCACCCACAUCGGCUCGCAAACCACAAAUCCUCUGUGUGCAUGAGGCCCUGCCCUCCCAGGAAAGCUCUCUACGCGGCGAACGUCUAGCGCGAGCUCCGCCUGCUCUCUGGAGAACCUUUUGCUUUUGACAGCCCCGCUUUUUCGGGGACUUUCGUGCCUUCCUCCUCACGUGCGUUGCUCUCGGAGCCACAGCCGGCUCCGCCCGCCUCAGCAGUGUGGGUAUUUAUUGACCUGUCCUCCAACCCGCUGACAGGCUCCAGGAUCCCGGCACCCUAAUCCACGUUUUGGAUGCACUGAGACCCCGACAUUCCUCGGUAUUUAUUGUCUUUCCCCACCUAGGACCCCACCCCCGAUCCUCGCAAAUAAAAGGCCCUUUCGUCUGCCCAGAA